AUUUUGAAAAAUAUUUACAUUGAGUAUUUUAAACUAAUGUUAAACAUUUUCUUCAGAUUUAGAUGAAGCUUUUCCGCAUUCAUCCGAUGUGACCUCUGUUAUAACUUUUUCUCCAACGCUAGAAGACACAUCUUCGCAUUCAAUGAAAGAAUUAUGUCAAGAUAAAACUUUACCACAGUCAUCCUAUGUAGCUUCUGUAGGUACUUUGUUUCCUGCACUAGAAAGCACAUCUUCGCAUUUAACCAAAGAAUUAUGCCAAGAUUUAGUUAAAACCUUCCCACAUUCAUCUGAUGUGGCUUCUGUUAGUAGAUCUUGCCUCGUUACUGCGCAAUCCCACCAAACUCAAUUCAAGAGAAAAAAAAGUUUUAUUUGUAUAAUCCACAGAACAUAAUAAAAAUUGCACAAAAGUCAGUGGCGUAUAUUUUAGUUGUUGUUAAAUUUUAACACCCUGUAUAUUGAGAACGAAGAAUUUCUGGACAUAUGUUUAUAUGAACUUUUUGUUUUAAAAUUACUCAAAAAAUGGUCUCUUAAAUUUAUGGUACAUACCUAAUUAACUUCCUGCACGUAUUCUUCUAUAUCGUCGUUGUUAGAUGUAGAAAUGCGAUGUUUAUUUUGUUUAAAUAUUUUGUUAAUGUAUGAACUUUAUUAAUAUUAAAAAAUAAAUAUUUGUACUAUG